GGGAGUAUAGCUCAGUCGGUUCAGAGCAUUUGCCUUACAAGCAAAGGGUCAUUGGUUCGAAUCCAAUUACUCCCA
rnacentral:tRNA from 1 species